GUUGCAUUUCUCCCUCGUUUGAGGGUGCACAGCACAAAUAACCCCCGUGGAGAUGUUCCGUUUCGUGUUGGUACUGGCCUGCUGCCAGGCCGCAUUGGCCCAAGGCUACGGCACUCCGUCCCCAAAGUUCUCAUCGAAAAACUCUGCCCGCUACCCAGACAAUCAGUACAACCAAUACUCGGGUGAAUAUUCCGGUGCUCAAUAUCCAAGUGGACAGUACCCAGUGAACCGCAACCAGUCCUACUUUGGAGCCAGAUUCCAGAACACCGCCUUGUUGGCAUCCAAGUUCAGUCACUUGACGAGAACAUGGAGAGCCGGCAGCAACCCGAAACCUCCGGCAGGAUACCGAUCGGGUGUCAACAUGGCUGACCUGGAGCGCACUAAGCUGCCGCUGGGAAUCAUGGCUGACGUCGAAGAUUUGGAUCUUCCGGAUACAUUCGACGCUCGUGAAAAGUGGCCAGAGUGUCCAAGUCUAAGGGAAAUCCGCGAUCAAGGAUGCUGCGGAUCCUGCUGGGCCGUUUCGGCUGCCUCGGCCAUGACCGACCGUUGGUGUGUUCGCUCCAAGGGUAAGGAGCAGUUCAUUUUCGGAUCUUUGGAUCUGUUGUCUUGCUGUCACUCGUGUGGACAGGGUUGCCGUGGAGGUACUCUGGGUCCGGCCUGGCAGUUCUGGGUCGAGAAGGGUCUUUCUUCGGGAGGUCCGCUGAACUCGCGUCAGGGAUGUCACCCAUAUCCGAUUGGAGAAUGCCGCAUUCCCGGAGAGGAUGAGGAUACUCCUAAGUGUUCGAAUAAAUGCCGCUCCGGAUACAACGUGACCGACGUCUGGCAGGAUCGUCACUACGGACGAGUAGCUUACUCGCUUCCCAAUGACGAGCGCAAGAUCAUGGAGGAGAUCUUCAUCAACGGACCAGUUCAGGCUGCUUUCCACACCUAUUUGGAUCUACACGCCUACAAGAGCGGAAUCUAUCGGCACGUGUGGGGACCGUUGUCUGGAGGACAUGCCGUCAAGCUGCUCGGAUGGGGCGUGGAGAACGGAGUCAAGUACUGGCUGGUGGCCAACUCGUGGGGUCGCGAGUGGGGAGAAAAUGGAUUCUUCAAGAUUGUCCGCGGUGAGAACCACUGUGGUAUCGAGGAGAACAUCCACGCGGGUCUGCCCAACUUCCACCGACAGGGAGAGGCUGGCAAAUACUUUGCUGCUGGGUAUGGCUACAACUGAGAGAUUCAUGGAUAUUAAAUGAACUAUAAAUCAGA